UGGGCUUAAGAUAAUUAUCCAUGGCUGAAAACGCAGGAAAUAGCAUUUCCGAGGUUCAAAUUUUAAAAUUUUCUCGGGGGAGCAUGCCCCCGAACCCCCCAAGGUUACAGGUCAUUCAUAUACUGUACCCUCCUCCAUUUUCGAGUACUCUACUCUAUCCCUGCAUGUUUUAGGUUUUGGUGCAGUUAUACAUUCUUUGUAAGUAAACUUGCACGCUUUAGUGUGGGGAACAUUAAGACAUAACCAUAUAUAAAAUAAAGCACAGUGAAAAUUCCUUGGCCCCUCUUGGGAUUCAGUUCUCGGCCUCCUCUGACUGAAAACCCCUGCUACGUUUCCGAUGAUAGCUAUAUGAAAGCCUAAAGUUACUGUAAGCCGUUAUUAUGAGAGGCAAAAAAAAUAUCCUGCGGCCAAAUAUAUUGGGAAAAAAUAUCUUGCGCUGCACUUUUACAGGAAAAAAAUAUCUGUCUCGUUCGCCUGGGCGGAAAAAAAAUUCUUGCACAGACUGAAUCUUCCACCCCCCCUCAAAAAUCAAAUGGUCCGCCCCUUAAAGGCAUGCAUGUUACAUGCACGAGCCUAUUUUUACUACAAUUUGCAACGCACUUUUUGACAUAUAGAAUGUAGUCGCAGGCUACAUACUCCCAAAAGUUAUGAGUGUAUGGCCACGGUUCGCACUGGCGUCAAAUUUUAAUCCCAUUUCUUUCAUUUUUUGUCUCUGAAGAGUAGGUUAUGAAAAGAAAGUGUCGGCAGAGUGCGGCCAUUCUCUGUGACGAUUUCUUAGAUAACAUUGUUCUGUAUGGAAAUUGCGUUGCAAGAUGCAGCAACAUUGGCUUUAUACGCGUCUCUCGUCUGCUGUCAACUUCCCGCGGGCGUAC